rnacentral:rRNA from 1 species
UACGGAGGGUGCGAGCGUUAUCCGGAUUUACUGGGUUUAAAGGGUGUGUAGGCGGGCUGGUAAGUCAGGGGUGAAAUCCCGGAGCUCAACUCCGGAACUGCCUUUGAUACUACUGGUCUUGAAUAUUGUUGAGGUGGGCGGAAUGUGUCAUGUAGCGGUGAAAUGCAUAGAUAUGGGGAGGAACACCGGUGGCGAAGGCGGCCACCUGGACGGUAACUGACGCUGAGACGCGAAAGCGUGGGGAGCAAACAGG